UACGUAGGGCGCAAGCGUUGUCCGGAAUUAUUGGGCGUAAAGAGCUCGUAGGCGGCCUGUUGCGUCCGCUGUGAAAUCCCGGGGCUCAACCCCGGGCCUGCAGUGGAUACGGGCUGGCUGGAGGCAGGCAGGGGAGAACGGAAUUCCUGGUGUAGCGGUGAAAUGCGCAGAUAUCAGGAGGAACACCGGUGGCGAAGGCGGUUCUCUGGGCCUGUACUGACGCUGAGGAGCGAAAGCCAGGGGAGCGAACGGG
rnacentral:rRNA from 1 species